UUGUUUUCAACUCUGAAAGAAAAGUUCUAGAGAGAGCAUUUGAGGAAUGUGACAAUGAUCUAGAUGCUGCCAUCAAGAGGCUGAACGAGCUUUGCUUGGGGACUACUGAUGGAAAUACUGGAACUGCUGAAGAACCACAAGUUGCUAUGCUUAGACAUGUGUUUGGUCAUAACACUAUGGGAGAGGAUGAAACUUGCUAUGCUUAGACAUGUGUUUUAUGAUUUUCUUUGAAUAAACAUACAUUGCAUGCUGAAGAUUAUGCUUAACAGUAACUUUUUAUAUCCUAUUUCGGAGGUUUAACCUGUAUAAUUUAUCAUUAGCUGUUCUCUUUUCAGGAGAAUUUGUUGCUAAAGGAGCAAAUUAAGGUGCUGAUUAAGGAAAGAAAUUCUUUUAAAAAUGCAUUUAGAAUCCAGCAUGAGCGUUUUUCUGAUUAUGAUGAAAAGAACCAAGAGUUGCAGCAUUUGAAGCAGUUAGUAUCUCAAUAUCAAGAACAGAUCAGAACUCUUGAGGUGAACAACUAUGCUUUGGCAAUGCAUUUGAAGCAAGCUCAACAGAGCAACCCCUUUCCAGGGCAUUUCCCUCCUGAUGUCUUCUAAUUGCACAAUGCAAAUAUUAGGAAUAUGUCAUAAUAAAGCCACCAAAGUAGCUGAAUUUUUUUUCGUUGGGUCUAAGGUUCUGUCAUUAUUAGUUUCUGAGGGGGAAGGUAGGAAUUGCAUUCCAUAUGCUGUCAACCCGGCUUAUAGUUAUAAUUUGAUGUUGUAAGAUGUUUUCAGUUAAUUCAAUUAUCGCGGUUUCAUUAUUCCAUUUUGUUGUCUUUUAUUUUACGUUUGGCUUUUAAUUGUUAGCACUGAGCAAGAAGCAUAUUUUGCUCUUAGAGCAGCUUUCUCUCCAAUAUUGUUCAUAAAUAAAACAUGUUGUUUGACUGUUGAGCAUUGCA